AUCCGCCAUUUGGAUCAUUGAAACGUCAUUAGCCCCAUCACCUAUGGCUAGUGUCAUAUCAUCUGUGCGGCUCUUUAUUAGGUCAACAAUUCCAGCCUUCUGCAAGGGAGCAACACGACAACAAAUCACAGCCCUACAUGAGGUUGCAAGGUCGAAUAGCUCGGUCUCGAGAUCUUUCUCUAAGAUGUAUACCAGACUAUUCCCAUCAAUUAUGAGUGCCAAAGGUCCAUCAGAAACUCCUUCCUCUCCUGCAUGCGGCUCUGGCAAAUUACUUGUCUGCAUACUAGCAGAAGCUUCGAGAUAACUAUUUUCUGCAUCACUCUGGCAUGUUGAGAUUUGAUUACAACAACUUGCAGAGUUUAUACCAUAUUUGAUUUUAGCAUCAAACAAUAACCUCUUGCAUUCGUUUUCUGAAGUGCCAUUAAUGAUGAUCCGCUGCAUGUCUGAGGUCAAGAGUUUGCAAGACAUACCAAUUGAAAUUGCAGUUUCUUGCUUAUCUCCAGUAAGAACCCAAACCUUCAUUCCUGCUUGACGCAGAGACUCAAUAGCUUCCGGUACGCCCUCUUGUAGUUUGUCCUCAAUUGCACUGGCCCCUAGUAGAGUUAAGUUGCAUUCUAUAAGAGAUGCUGUUUGGCGCAAUUUUGCUGAUCUGUCGGUCAAAGAGGUGCUAGCAUCCUCAUACAUGAAUUGCCACUCCUCCAGUUCUUCUCCCGUAAGAUCCCUUGCACCAACAACCAGGGUCCGCAAACCUUCAGAUGAGUACUCAUUCAAAUGGCUAAGAGUGACAUUUUGUAUGUCGUGGUGGCUUUUGUGGUCUUUCCUUAAAAUGCUAAACAUCGUAGUAUCAGCCCCUUUAACCAAAACUUUCACAGCACCACUUGGGAAUCUGAUGACCACAGACAUUCUUUUGCGUACACUAUCAAACUCAUGCAGUCCCAAGACAUCCAACCUUAGUUUCUCACCAUUGACAUCAAUCACAAUAUGACCAGAUGUCCGCUCACAAAGUGUAUAUCCAUAUGCAGAAGCAGCAGCAACUAGUGCUUGUUCAUCA
rnacentral:misc_RNA from 1 species